rnacentral:rRNA from 1 species
UACUUAGGGCGCAAGCGUUGUCCGGAAUUAUUGGGCGUAAAGAGCUCGUAGUCGGCCUGUCGCGUCUGCUGUGAAAUCCCGGGGCUCAACCCCGGGCCUGCAGUGGAUACGGGCUGGCUGGAGGCAGGCAGGGGAGAACGGAAUUCCUGGUGUAGCGGUGAAAUGCGCAGAUAUCAGGAGGAACACCGGUGGCGAAGGCGGUUCUCUGGGCCUGUUCUGACGCUGAGGAGCGAAAGCGUGGGGAGCGAACAGG